rnacentral:rRNA from 1 species
AUUGAACGCUGGCGGAAUGCUUUACACAUGCAAGUCGAGCGGCAGCACGGGGGCAACCCUGGUGGCGAGCGGCGAACGGGUGAGUAACACAUCGGAACGUACCCUGUCGUGGGGGAUAACGAGUCGAAAGAUUCGCUAAUACCGCAUACGACCCGAGGGUGAAAGCGGGGGAUCGCAAGACCUCGCGCGACUGGAGCGGCCGAUGGCGGAUUAGCUAGUUGGUGGGGUAAAGGCCCACCAAGGCGACGAUCCGUAGCGGGUCUGAGAGGACGGCCCGCCACACUGGGACUGAGACACGGCCCAGACUCCUACGGGAGGCAGCAGUGGGGAAUAUUGGACAAUGGGCGCAAGCCUGAUCCAGCAAUGCCGCGUGCAGGAAGAAGGCCU